UACGUAGGGGGCAAGCGUUGUCCGGAUUUAUUGGGCGUAAAGCGCUCGCAGGUGGUCCGUCGCGUCGUGCGUGAAAGACCCCGGCUCAACCGGGGGGUGUCGUGCGAUACGGGCGGACUGGAGGCCAGUAGGGGGAUGCGGAAUUCCGGGUGUAGUGGUGGAAUGCGUAGAGAUCCGGAGGAACACCAGCGGCGAAGGCGGCAUCCUGGACUGGUCCUGACACUCAGGAGCGAAAGCGUGGGGAGCGAUCCGG
rnacentral:rRNA from 1 species